rnacentral:rRNA from 1 species
UACGUAGGGUGCAAGCGUUAAUCGGAAUUACUGGGCGUAAAGCGUGCGCAGGCGGCUUUGCAAGACAGAUGUGAAAUCCCCGGGCUCAACCUGGGAACUGCAUUUGUGACUGCAUGGCUGGAGUGCGGCAGAGGGGGAUGGAAUUCCGCGUGUAGCAGUGAAAUGCGUAGAUAUGCGGAGGAACACCGAUGGCGAAGGCAGCCCCCUGGGUUAACACUGACGCUCAUGCACGAAAGCGUGGGGAGCAAACAGG